GGGUGCUUUAUGCAAGGCUUAUAUGCUUUCAGAUCCGGGUGUUUAUGAAUGGGGAUGUGAUUGGGUAUAUAAGAGACUUAGACACUAGUAAUAAUAACUGGAUUUUAGCAUUUUGGGCCGAUGGUUGGGCCCAACGAGUUAUUGUUGCUAGUGGGGUAGGUUGUUACAUUUGGUGUCAGAGAUAGUUCACGAGCCGAAAAUGUGUGGCGAGUCUCGGCUGAGCCAAUAGGUUAUGCCGGAGUCUGAAUGACAAGGUGACUGGCUAUGCCAGAGUCUAGAUGACAAGGCUAGCGAGACGAGUCUCACAUCGCCUAGUGCUCUUGGACUGUGUGUGUGAUUGGAUUGACGAGGACGUCAGGGCCUUAACGGGGGGAGUCUGUCACAUCCCAAUAAUCCCAUAUCGGAUAUGAAUGGGGAUGUGAUUGGGUAUAUAAGAGACUUAGACAUUAGUAAAUAACUGGGCUUAAGCAUUUUGGGCCGAUGGUUGGGCCCAACGAGUUAUUGUUGCUAGUGGAUUAGGUCGUUACAGUCAUUUACAGGUUUGAGCAGUUGUGGCACAAGUCUAAGGUCUACGGACUGAUAGGGCAGAUUUCAGAUUGAGUAUUUUGAACUAGUUGUCCGGAUUGAUGCAUUCAUACAGUAGCGGUAGUUAUUCAUUUAUACAUCUCGUUCGUUUAUUAUCGUUGCUAUUGUAUUACCCUUAACCAUAGAUUUGUUUAUUCUCCUUGACUGGUGAGUACCCCUGGAUUGAUGCAUUCAUACAGUACCCAUAUCUUUGUUUAUUCUCUUUGACUGGUGAGUAACCCUCGCCCUCGUCGGCUUGCGGUACCCACUGGGAGGGGAGACAUAUGUACAUGUUCUCACCCCCACCCCCAUUACAGAUGACAUUGCGGUUCCUAGUGGGACGGUUCGUGAGUAGCGCACUUAGCGAUCGAUAGAGCUACCAUUCCGUUAUUUGGUUAAACUCUUAAACUCAGUUUCCUUUAAUAAAUAACUUAGACAAUAUUUAUGAUUCAGUAUUUCAUGUUAAUUAAAUAAUUGAGAUUUCAUGAAUGUAAAAAGAAUUUAUUGGUUCUUGCGAAAUGAAAAUGAUUUUUUACCCCUCAUGAUAGCGAGUUUUAAAAAGAAAAUAGUUUCCGUGUGGGAAACAAUUUUUAAAUGGAUUUUCUGAUUUUCCUGGUUAUUAGUAUUUCAAAACGAAUUUCUGGUUAGUAAACAUUUUAAACUGAUAGAUGUGGAUUUAUGGAUAAUUGUGAUGUAUUGAAUGUGAAUGGAAAUGGUGUAUGAAUAUAUAGAUGUCCAUAUGUGUGGUUUUAUAUGGUAUCGUAAAUCUUGUAUCUUAUACUUGUGCGACGCCGUGCAAAUACAGGAGAGACUCUAUCCGUGUGAACAGUGGACUCUCUAUAUUUGUGACAAAUUUGAUAAAUCCAGGGGUCAGAAUUUUCAAAAAAAAAAAAAAAGUUUGGGCACUUCUGCAUUGACUUUCAUAUCAAAAAGGUACUCCGGGGCGUGACACAAAGGCUAUUUGCUACUAAGGGCAUGUUUUUUUCACCGAAACUAAACUUUGGGUUCAAAUGGAGUUCGAUGAAAACUAUUUCUUCCCUGCCAUUUGUUUCAUAGUUAUGAAAGUGAAAUUUUAUCAGUCUACUGUUUAUUUGGUAUGAAGUGUAUGAUGUAAACUAUAAUUUAUAUAUAAAUAAUAAAUAAUUUAAUAAAUAAAAAUAAUAUAAUUAUAUUUUUAUAUAAUUAAAAUUUAAUUUAAAAUAAUCAUAUUAUUUUUUAUCCAUAAAUUAUAGUAAUAAAACAAUAAAAAUAUAAAAUAAAAAAUAUUAUUAAUUAAUUAAUUAAUUAAUUAAUUGUAUCACAUUUAAUUGAACAAAUUAAAAAAAAAGUAUUAAUACUUUACUAAUUAAUUUUAUCAUAUUUUAAAUAUGCCAACCGAAUAAAAGAAUAAUUAGUACCAUAAUUACAUAUAUUUAAAUAUAACUAUCUUUACCUAUUAUAUUAUUUUAAUAUUUUUUCUUCACCUUUCUUUACCGUAAUUGACUUCAGCUUACGAUGGGCCGAAGUCAAUUACGUCGUUUCAAAUUAACUCGAGUUUCGACUGUAAUUUUUUUACAGCGAGCCAAACAACAGAAGUUAUUGUUUAUGGCGAAAACGGCUUUCCUACUCUCCACUUUCACCCCACUUUCCACCCAAACAAACAUGCCAUAUAGUAUCCCAACUUAGCUCUUAUAUUUCAUGCUUCUAUACUUUAAGGCUGCGUUUGGUUGAAGAACUAAAUUUUGGAGAACAACUUUUGUUGUUCCCGAGAAUAUGGGAUAUUUCGGUACAAGAUAGAACAAUUGUAAAUUUGUGUUUGGAUGCAUUCGAAAAUAUUCUAGAGGAUAUCCUUAGUAGCGUUUGGAUAAAAAGUCUAGAACAACGUCUAAAUAUAUUUUUAAAAAUAAAAUAAUUAAUUUAUAUUAGUAUAUUUUAUAUAAAAUUAUUUAUAAAAUUAUUUCAUAUAAUUUAUAAUAUAAUAUUUUAUGUAACAAUCUAAUUUAAAAUAGUAUAUUUUAUUUUAUUAUAUAUAAUAAUUUAUUUUAUGUAAUAAUUUAUUUUAUAUAAUUUAUUCAUAAUAUAUUAAUGAAUAAAGUAUAAUACUAACAAUAUCCCUAUAUUUUUAAUUAAUAAUUAGUAUAAAUUUCAAUACAAAUAAAAAAAAUAUAUAUAAUUAAAUAUUAAAGUAUAAAUGAUAGAGUUUAAUAAAAUAAAAAAUAUAUCAAAUUUAAUUAAUUUAUAUUAUAUAAUAAAAUUUAAGUAUAAAUAUAUUAUCAUAAAAAUUUAAGUAUAAAUUUCAAUACAAUUUAAAAUAUAUAUAUAAUAUAUGAAAAAAUAAUUUUAUGUAUAUAAUAAUUAAUAUAAAAUAAAAUAAUUAAAUAUUAAUAUAUAAAUGAUAAAACUUAAUAAAAUAAAAUAUAUAUCAAAUUUAAUUAAUUUAUAUUAUAUAAUAAAAUUUAAGUAUAAAUAUAUUAUCAUAAAAAUAAUAUUUAUAUUAAUAUAUUUAUUUAUUAAAUUUGAGCAUUCAUUUAAUUUAUUUGAAAUUAAUUAAAAUAAAGUAUAAAAAAAAAAUAAAAGGGCAUAAUAGAAAAAAAAAAAAAAAAAAGGGAAAAUUUUCUGUUCCAGCUUGUUCUCCAUGGAAGGGAGAACAAGCUUAACGGGUUGUUCCCGGGAACAACCUUAAGCCCGGAACAACCACCUUAUUCCAUUUUACAUUGUGUUUGGGGGGAUAAAGAAGGAUAUCCCGCCUUGUUUUGGGAUAUCCCUCAAACCAAACGCAGCCUAACUAUUCAUUUUCUGUUGAACAAAUAAAGUAUACUUUAUUUCCACAUAUAAACUGCAUAGAUAUUUUGGGAUUUUUUUGUGACUAACCCUAUCAACUUUUAAUUGCAAAAAAUUACAUUCAAAACCGACCGUUACUAGAGCAAGUGGCAAAUGGCUUAGUAGUUGAUUCCCAAAACCCAAGUUCGAAUCUUAAUUGAUUCACAUUUCUAGCUAAGUUUAUUUCUAAAUGAAAUAAACGAAGCGGGUAGUGUGCUAUCUAUCUCUCAAAAAAAAAAUAUUUAAAAUUUUUAUUUAUAGAAUUAAAUUUAAACAGAGAAUCAUUCGUUGUUUUAUAAAACGAUAAAUUAUUCACCUUUUUUACCUAACUUAUAUAUUUUUUAUAUCCGAACUUUAAAAAAUAUAAAAAUAAAAAAUAUAAAAAUGAUAAACGAUUUACAGCACCGUAUAAAAUUAAUUUUAUAAUUUUGCAAAAAAUACCAUUUUUGCAAUUGUAAUUUUUUAAUUUUUUAGUUUAUUACUUAAAAAAUAUAUAUUUUUUAUUUUUAAAUUUAUUAUUAAAAAAUUAGAUUUUUUUG
rnacentral:lncRNA from 1 species